CAUAAUCUUUUGAGUGCCCCAAGGCUUCUGGAUCUAAACUCUUAAUUUGUUCUAAGUAAUUACAUUCAAGAAUUGACCGUUGUUCGAAGCAAUGAAAAUGAAGGUUUUGUUUGGCCUAUAUGCUCUGCUUCCAGGGCAAGAUGCCAAGUCUCUGAGCAUGUCUGGGCAUGAAGAAGGGACCAGAAGAAGGGACCUUUGUGGUCCAGGAGCUUGCACCUUUGAAUGGAUAUUAAACGGAUUUUAUGGCAUGCUGUGAGCACAGACCUGACUCACUGCAUACAGCUCAGCUGGACAGGAAUCUAAAUCAGGAAGCUGCAAGUUAGCAUUACCAGAAUGAAGAAGGAGAGAGAGAGGGAGAUGCUGUCACCUAAGAAAUGAAACUGCCACCGCUAACAAAACCAGGAAUGGGACACUAGCACAGGACACAGAAGCGGGGCUCCAAAGACCACAGCGCAUAGUUUGGGUAAAACAACAGUGCCCUCUUCUGGCGACAAUGAAGAACGAAUUACUGUUCAGAAGGGUCUGACAACAUUCACAACCAACUUACUGAAAAAGAAAAAACUAUAAGGCCCCUGAUUUUCUGUCCUCUGAAACACCAGCUUUGGACACCUGGCACAUACACAGUGGAUUCACAAGAAGAAGAGAGGAAAUAAAUUGCUUGGUUUACUUUGCUUCGUGUUGACAGAUGUGAUAAAGGUGUGACAAAUGGGAAGCUGGAAUCAAUUGA